CAUUGCCCGAAAAUGUUAUAUAAAUUCUAGGGUCGGCAGACUAAAGCACAUAAGUCAAAAUUUUCAAUUUAUUUUUUAUUACAUCAUCGGUUUACAUUUUGCUCAACACACAAUCUGACUAAAGCACAUAAAUCAAACUCAAGUAUUUCAUGGCGUAUUCAAGCGGCGUUCUGUAUCAACCUUAUCAAAUCCUAAUAUAGUCAAACGAACUAAAAAACAUAACUGGACUUAUGUUCUAAGGAACACCAUAAGUACAAAGUUAUUAACGUAAGAAGUCUGACUUAUGUUAUAAAGAACAUCAAAAUGUAACAUUUCUUUAGAGAAAGUAGUUACUUAAAAAUAUUUAUAACGUAAACAAUACUUCGAUGAAUAUUUAAAGAGGCAAGAAAUUAGUUGAAAUGGCGUCAUCCACUCAUCUGGAAAGCAAUGAAGAAUGAAAUGUAAAGAACGUAUACCAUUAACUGAUAGGCGUGCCAUAUUUACAGAAUAUUGGCAAAUGGGGUCAUAUGCAAAAAGAUCUGCAUACUUGGCGUCUUUAAUGGAAAUUCAAGAUAAAUCUAAACAAAGAAUACGAGCUAUUGAACCUGAAAAGCAAAAGCUUAGAAUGAAGACAUAAAAAUACUUUUUUACUGUGCAUGGUAAAGGUGAACCUGUCUGCCGAGGAUGUUUAAUGAAACCGUUAGAUGAAAGUGACAAUUUUAUAAAGACAGUUGCUAUCAAAAGGAGAUCAUCCAUUGGGGGUUCUCAAACUGAUGAUAUAAUAUCUAUACAGCCAUUACCCAUAUUCAUCGAGAAAAAAAAUGAUUUAAUUUCGCUGCUCCCUUUAAUACUAGAUAUUUUCCAUGAAUUUUACAUAAGUCUUCCCACGUUGGAAACUUUACGAAAUACUGAUCCAGAUAUUUAGAAGAAGAAUAAUAAUAGAAUAAGAAGAAGAAUUUUAAUUAAACAUUGAGUUGUUAUUUAUAUUUAUGACUUAUAUUAUUAUAAUAUAUAUCUUAA